AGGCCAUUUUUGGCAUAGACUCUUUUUUUCUAAGUAAAAAACAUGAACAAAGUCUUUGAUAAGUCUUUGGUAUACAACAAAAACAAAAUCAUUAACUUUGCUGUUCCAAUACUUUAGGAGGGGACUGUAUCUUAAUGAUUUUGUUGUCUUAUUGAUAUUGUUACAGGUUUGAGAAACAGGUGAAGAUGAGCAGAGAAAUUGAAGAUGAAAAUCGAACAUUGAGGGAGCUGAAUAUAAAGUUGCAGCAGAAGCUUUUUGCUGAGACCAAACACCCGGUCAUUGGUAAAGUCAUUUAAGGAAAUGGCUUUUUUUUCCCCAUUAUGCCAGUGUAGUUCACAGCCUUUCAAUAGACCUUAUGCGCUAACUGUGUUGCCAUGGGAACGCUUUAAAUUUAACUGGGUGGUUUACUUCCUGUUGCAGCCAUUUAAAUAGGACAGGAAGUCAAAUCCAUCCAUCCAUUUUCUUCCGCUUUUAUCCGUUUCCGGAUUGCGGGGGUAGAGAUCUUUCUACCCAAUUCUCAUUGCACCAUAUUUUCACCUCUGUGGGUGGUGAGUCCACAAGGGGGCGGGGCUUCCUAGUUUCACCAGAGGUCUCCCAUCCGCCUACUGACCAGGCCCUACGCUGCUUAGUGUGAUUGUGAUGCAGACUAAAUUUGGAAUACAUAACUGGUUUUAUAAUUUUAUUUUGAUGGAGACAGGAAAUAGAUGAGAUCCUGAAAAGCUUGAUUUUAAAAGAUGCACAUUCCGUGCAUAGAGGUUAUGCGAAUGAUGUCAUAACCAUAGCAACAGCUGGCAGUUGGCAUUUUAUCUCAGAAUUCCGUGGUAUUUUUCAAAAAUCUCCAUUCAAUUUUCCUAUGCCACUCCUUUUUGCCACUCCUUUUUUGUUUAUUUUUAAGCAUUCGCAUACCCUCUAUAGUCCAUAGCUGUAAAAGUAAUAGACACUGCCAACAUUUUCUUUAUACCAAAUUUACCUAUGAGGGAAUUAAAUAUGGCACUUUAAUUCCUUGCAGUUGACUCAGUGAGACACUUGGAGGAAGAAGGCGACAAAGUGACCCAAAACUGCCAGGAUGACCAGAUUCAUUUGGGCGGAGAUGUAUUUCUAAAGUCGGAUGCUUGGUCCAAAAUACAGUCAAACCAGAGAGACUCCCGGUUUGUCAAAGAAUUGGCGGUGGCAGUAUGGGGCACCAAAAUCUUGGCUGAAAGAAGCCUAACAGGCAAGGUCUGCCCAACAACAAAGACCACAAAGCCUCCUUUGUCACCAGCGAAGCUCCAGAUUUUAAAAGGCUGCUUCAGGGAUUGGCUGAAGGCCAAGAAGCUGGAGGACGCAGAGCUGCAGUCCAGAUUUGGGAAAGUCGGACGCUAUAUAACUGAAAAAAUCAUGGAUAUAAAUCGUUUGAAGAAGAGUGAAUGAAUGAAUGAAUUGUGUUGUGCAUGUAUUUCAACUUUUUGAAUGUUUAAAUUAAUUUUUCAAUGUUCACUUGUUUGUCUUAUACAUUGAUAUCAUUUUCCAAAAUUUAAAAUAUUUGUCAUAAUUGUUAAUUAAUAAUUGUUCCACUAUUUUUUUGUUUAUAUUAAAGCCUGUCGAACUAAUUUAACUUGAUUCUUCUUUUAGAAUAUAGAAAAUUGUUCCCUUGAAUUUUUUUUUUCUCCACAUUUUGAUCUUGGUCUAUUGCCGAUUUUAACAUCAUCUGUAUCACAGGAUGGAUGCAGGCAUUGAUGCUGAUUUCAUGCUGGUCCAGCAAGACCAGCACCAAAACACAACUUAUGCUGGUCCAGCAAGACCAGCACCAAAACACAACUUAUGCUGGUCCAGCAAUAUGCUGGUCCAGCAAGACCAGCACCAAAACACAACUUAUGCUGGUCCAGCAAUAUGCUGGUCCAGCAAGACCAGCACCAAAACACAACCUAUGCUGGUCCAGCAAUACCAGCACCAAAACACAACUUAUGCUGGUC